CAAGCCGGCACUCGGCUUGGCAAUGGAGCGCUCACAGCUGUGGCUCUGUCUCAGAUUCUUUUGGGGUCCUUCCACUCAGGAAAGGAAAGCAUUUGGGAAGUUGGACUUCAACUUCCGUGUGGAACAAAGCACAGGACUGAGCACUGACCCUGACGGGAAGGCCUGAUUGCAUGACCUCAGCUGAGAUACAGAGCUGCUGGGCCUCAGCGAUCCAUCUCCACACCAUCCGGAAAGCUUCUGCAGACAGAGGAAAACCAUCCGAAUGAGUUCUGGGGGAAAAAGAAACGUGCUACUUCAUUUAA